CUCUGAUUAACUUGGUGCUUCUCUAUUGGGAAGUUCUAGAAAGGACCAGGUUGAUGAAACUUCCUCUACUGGAUCUUUUCCAAAUGACUUUCAUCAUUUGUUAGAAGUGAAUUCUAGCUGAAACCUAGUCUUAUUGAAAAGGAAUAAAAAGCCGUUCAAGUUUCUGAUAAAGCAAAUGACAUUCUCCAACUUGUGCGCAGGAAGAUAACUCUGGUGGCUGUGUGAAGGAUGAACGGGCUGAUGGAGACACUGAAGGUGAGGCAGAUAAGGAGCUUCUUACAAAAGAUGGUGCCAAGCCAAACUAGGAUAAACACAGAAAGGGGAGGAGGUGAGAGAUAAAAGAAAUAUGGCAAAGAAUAAAAAUCACUAGCAGUUAGCUACUGAUCAAGGUGAGAGAGAGCGAGGCAGAGAAAUGAAGCCUGGAGGAGAAAGACAUGCAUGGAAAAGUUGCAGAGCAAGAAUAAAUUCUGUGAUGGUGUUACAGAUGCUCAUGAACCCUGCCCAGGUGCCCCAGCGAAGGGUGAACACCCACUAGGACCUGCUCAAAAGGCGGGGCUGAUACCUGCCUCAAACCAAAAGGGGAGAAGUGAGCCCACUGGCAUACCAACAUACGAAAAAGCACACAUUUGGAGUUAGUUGCCUGGGUUUGAGUACCUGCUUACCCUCCCUUCUCCCCACAAGCCUCAAGCAGCCCAGGGCAGGCUACUAACCCUACUGAAGCCAAAGCUUCCUGAUCUGAAAAUGAAGACAAUAUGCCCUGUAGCGCUGUUAGGAAAAUAAACAGUCGCAUGCAAGAUGGCACCUACUGCAGGCCUGGCAUAUAUCAGGGGCUGAACAAUUAGUAAGAGUUCUCAUCAGCCACACAAAUGUUCCUAUGCGGGGCUCAGAAAGAAUGCAUGACUUUCCCAAGGUGAUGCAGCAUAUUAGUAACAAAACCAGAACUCAGUGUCAGUUUGUCUGAAUUAUCUUCCCUGUAAGCUCUAUUUCCCAAAAAGCAAGAACAUGCGCCGCUUUCUCCUGCACAGCUUCACGUUCUCCGUGUCCUUAGCAUACUUUGUUUUCAGAUCCUGGUCAACAAACAAGGCAAAACACUAAAGACGACUUUCAUUCCCAAUAUGAAAACACUUUUCUGUUGAUACAGCGUCUUUUAUCAUUUUCCUUAGCCCACGUAACAACUUUUUUUGAAAUUCUGAAUGACACAAUUUACUGCAUUGUUUUUGUCAUCUAUUGUUACAAAAGGGCCCCAGAAUUUACUGGCUCAAAGGGACAAUUUGUUAUUUCCAUCAGUUCUGUACCUUGUCUGGGCUCAGAUGGAGGGUUCUCCUGCUCCACGUGGUACUGGCUGGGUCACUUUUGCGGCUACAUUCAUCUGAGAGCUCAAUCAGAAAGUGGAAAGCCCAAAAUGCCUUCACUCAUACAGCUGCUGCCGGAAUAGCCAGGGGCUGGCUGGGUCUCUCUCUCUCUUCACAUUCUUGGCUGUCUGGCCCAAGCUUCUUUACAAAGCAGCUGGGUCCCAAGGGGUGAAGCAGAAGUUUUCGGAGAGCUUCAGGCCAGGGCUCAAAGUCCAGAAGGUCACCUCCACAGCAUUACAUUGGUCAAAGCAAAUCCCAAGGCCAGGCCAGGUGCAAGGGGAGGGAAACAGACUCCACCUCUUGACAUACACACACUCCCACCAGGAAAGGGAGGAAUUGUCAGGAGGAAGUGUUGGUGGCCAUCUUUGAAAGCAUUUACCAAAACCAUUAUUUGUUGGGGCCAGCCCAGCAGCAUAGUGGUUAAGUUCAUGUGCUCUGCUUUUGUGGCCCUGGUUCACUGGUUCCAAUCACAGGUGCAGACCUAUGCCCUGCUCAUCAAGUCAUUCUGUGGCAGGCAUCCCACAUAUAAAGUAGACGAAGAUGGGCACAGAUGUUAUCUCAGGGCCACUCUCCCUCAGCAAAAAGAGGAGGAUUGGCGGCAGAUGUUAGCUCAGGGCCACUCUUCCUCAAAAAUAAAAAAGAAAGAAACAUUAUUUGUAAAAUCUGGGCUUCAGAGGCAAUAGUAAACUAUUUUGUUACAACUUUUUAGAAAGUAUCUCAUCCAUUGAUAAACUAAACUUGUUUUUUCUAAAUGUCUUUUACCCUUGAUUUCCCAGGAAGCAUAUAUUUGAGGAUCGUAGCAGGGUGGGUGUGGCCUUCAAAAAGAUGUCCAAAUCCCCAGAACCUGUGAACGACCUUAUUUGGAAAAAGUCUUUGCAGAUGUCAUUAAAUUAACAAUUUUGAGACAAGCUCAUUCUGGAUGUCCCAGGUGGGCCCUAAAUCCAACGACAAGUGUUCUUGGAAGAGACACAAGAGGAGAAAACACACAGCAGAGGAGGAGACGUGAAGACAGAGACAGAGAUCAGAGUGGCGUGGUCACAAGCCAAGGAAGCCAGGAACGUCCACAGCCAGCAGCAGCGGAAGCGGCAAAGGAUGCUCCCCCAGCCUCCAGAGGCAGUAUGGCCCUACACACGCAUUCAUUUCAGGCUUCUGCCCUCUAGAACCUGAGAGAAUAAAUUUUUCAUUUUAAGCCACCCCGUUUUCAGUAAUUUUUUACAGCAGCCACAGGAAACUAAAUACAAGGAUCGUCCCUCUUUAUACUUAAGACUAAACGUUUCACUCCCAUUUUAGGAUGGUGGUUUUUAGGGCAAUGGCUGUGACUCUUGGCUCCUGCUGUCCCCACCCACUCAGCAGAGACACGGAGGAAGGCCCCUUACCUGAAAACUCAGCCUUGUCCACGUCUUCAGCCACUCCUGACAGAAACACGUAGAACGCCAGAAGCCUCUGUUUCACCAGAUCCUUCUAGAAACAGUCUUGCUACUCAAAGUUCCCAGAGCCACAGCCCCUCCCUUCGCCCAUUUCCCGCAUCCACAGGAUGGGCCCAGGCUUCGGAUCACGGAGCUGAAGUUGCAGCGCCACGACCUAUGACCUUCGGUAACUUACAUAAAUUCUCAGAGCUGCAGUUUCGUUCUCGGUAAAAUCUGAAGAUAUUACCUUCCUCGUAGAGCUAUUUAAAGAACUAAAUAGGGGCCCGGGCUAUUACUGCGGAAGUUGUGGCAGGCUGGGAUGCUCCUCAAAAUCGCGGAGGGCGCCUGGGGCUACGAGCCAGGACUUACUCCUCGGCAAGGCAGUACUUCGCACAGGCGCCCUGUGAGAAGCUGGACUGCCCCUCUCGCCCACACAGGUGCCAGGUGAGCGGCUGGCAGGCUCCUCUCAUCCACGCAGGCACCCUGUGAGAGGUUCCGUGGCCCCUCUCGCCCACGCAGGCGCGCUGUAAGCGUCUCUGAGUCUCCUCUCUCCCACGCAGGCGCCCUGUGAGCCGCUCAGCGUCGUCUCUCAUUCACGCAGGCGCCCUCUGAGCUGCUCAGCUGCCCGUCUCACUCACGCAGGCGCAAACCCAGGUGGUCUACGUUGGCAGAGUUUCCUCGGCCGUCCGCACCGCAACUCCUGGAGCCCCGAGGCUGCCAGGCCCUUCACGUGCGAUCUCAGGCGUUGGUGAUGAUGGGCAGGGCCACCCUGCAGCGCACGUCUGACCCUGGCCGUGGUGAGGCCACGCCCGACGCCAACUACACAGUGUUCGACUUUGAUGCCUUCUGCCAGGCGCGCUACAGAAGCAGCCAGAGCAAGGAUGGUGCCGGAGAGCCCAGGCCUACCUCUGCUGGGGGGUAAAGGAACUGUUCUCCCCCUCGUCUUCCCACCCGCCCAUCUUAGCCAUGGACCUGCACAUCCCUCUCCUGCAGUCCAGAAGGGGAGGCUUUUCGCUGCCCAAGAAAGAGGCCCCAGGAUGAAAAGUCCAGAAAGCCAGAGAAUGAAAGGUUUUUCUGGAGUCCUUUGGGUGCCCGCUUCCAGAGGUUGCCUUCCUGGUUUUAUCGACUUAUGGAACACUUGGCUCUGGCUUUAAAGCUCUGAGCGAGAAUUGUCUGCUACGGCCCCACAUUUGUACUGAGGGGAUCCUCUGUAACCUUGAAACAUGCAAUGUGACCAAUUGUUGGCUGCCAAAGGAAAAAUUCUGGGUUUAUACGAGCCUCGUCUUUCUGUGACACCUAAGCCACAGAUGACAUGUGAUGUAGCAUAAGAAUGUGAUAUGUGGAAGCCUUGCCAUUCUGUCACCAGCCAUGGACUCUAACCUGCUUCUCUUGUCUUGCUUAAACUGUAACCUUUUGUGUUCAACAUAAUUCUUUUGUCUUCCUGAAGGGUGCAGAUGUUUCUUUCUCUAACGACUUUUGGAGUCUUGAGCUUAUGUGGUUUCAGCUAUGUUCCAGGAAGAAGCUCUAAGCAACAACUGACCUGGAUCCAACCACUCUGAACAGGACCACACUGUCCCAGACCACAGCCACAAGACUGACACCUGCACAGACAGGCAGAGUUGUACUAAAAUAACCUGCCCUCCUUAAUGUUUGGAAUUCUCCUCCUCUGGGAGGGGCAAAGCAGCCACUUUUAGAUCCUGUGAUGUGUGUAAAAGCAUGAUUUCAAACCACGUGUCCAAGCUUAUGCCCACUUCUACAUGUGAUGAUGAAACUUCCCCUUUGAAUAGUCAUUCCCUCUCCCAAAUAAAGGUACCCACGUCCCAGUGCUGGGGGAGCCAUUGCUUUGUGAAAUUAUUCUCUAUGGUCUCCAUUUUCUUUGCUGCAUGCCACAAAUAAAAUGUCUGCUUUGUGUGACAACUACUUCUGGUGUAGUUUAACUCCCAAGAAGGGGACUCAUGUUUGGUCUGGUAACAAUUCUUCCUUGGUCAGAGUCAGACCCCAUUCCCACUUCUGUUGGUGGCAUGUGGGAGUGAGAGAGCAUGGUCAUUGAGUAAGGAAUGAAUGUUCCUGUGCCCAUACUUAUCUAAUGUAUGACCUUGGAGAAGGUACUCUGUGGGCAUGACAGCAGAGGAGCAAAUCAUUUGCACUCUUGAGGUCUGUCACACUUUAUUAUCCAUAGUGCUAAUGGGCUGAGUGAUUAAAACAUUAUGCUAGUAGGGCCAGAUUCAUCCUUAGCACAGUGUGCCUACCAUCCGAUCAUCCCUUUACCAGCCAGCCCCAUUGCUAACUGUGUAGACCAUCCCCUCUCAGAAAUAGAGCAACAGACUGGGAGUUUGAGUCAUUUGAGUGUGGCCCAUCCUCCUAUUUAGGUUGCAGUGCUUUUGUAGGAUCCAGAAGCCAAGCCUUUGAAACACCGCUGCUUGAGGCUGUGGGGAGUUUGGGGAGUUUGGAGUAGAUGGGACUACUGAAGGACAGGAGGCACAUAGUGGAAACUCCGUAGCUUAUUCAGAGCUCGCUGAGGCUUUUCUUUUCUUUAUUUUUGUGGUAGGCAGUUGGUCAUCGCUUGCUAGAGCUGUAGUAGUCAGCUCUCUCAACCCUGAGUCACUGCACAUGGGGAGUGGCUUUGUUGUGAGAUUGUAG
ensembl:lncRNA